UUCAGGACUGCGGCUGCGGUCGUUUCAUUGCCAACUGUGAGGAUGAAGCAGCUUCAUGGCCGGAGAUCGGGCGCCUCCCAUCAGUUUCCCUUUUCAGCAAUAGAGGCCUUGGAGGCCUUUCUACCUGCGUUGCAUCCUGUGGCUGGACCACUCCAACGAUCUCGGCAGAAUCGUUACACAGCAUGAAAAAAACAUCUUAGAUGAAACAAGGCAAAAAUGGCUGCUUAUGCAUUUGUACGAUAUUCCAACUGAGAGGGGUGAAAAGUAAUAAAAUGUUCUACUUUCAUAAUUUUUCUACCAUGUGUACAACAUUUCUUAAUAGGCAUGAAGCAA